rnacentral:rRNA from 1 species
GGGGGGGGGGGGGGGGGGGGGGGGGGGGGGGGGGGGGGGGGGGUGGGGCAGGUGCGGGGGGGUAGAGAGUGGCGAACGGCGGAGGAACACGUGGGCAACCGGCCGCUGUCAGUGGGCUAGCCACGGGAAACCGUGGGUAAUACCGAAGACUUCGAGACUUCCGCAUGGAAGACUCGAGAAAGCUCCGGCGGAGAGGGAUGGGCCCGCGGCCUGUUAGCUUGUUGGUGGGGUAACGGCCUACCAAGGCAAUGAUGGGUAGCUGGGUUGAGAGACCGACCAGCCAGAUUGGGACUGAGACACGGCCCAGACUCCUACGGGAGGCAGCAGUGGGGAAUCUUGCACAAUGGGCGAAAGCCUGAUGCAGCGACGCCGCGUGCGGGAUGAAGGCCUUCGGGUUGUAAACCGCUUUCAGCAGGGACGAGGCGAAAGUGACGGUACCUGCAGAAGAAGCCCCGGCUAACUACGUG